AUGGCUUUCGCGCUCAAGGCAUCUUCCUCGGCUCCGUCGUUGAGCCGCCCCAUGCGUCGCGGCACGGUGGCCUCUGUGGCGGUGCCCGUGCCGCUGCCGGGGAGGCCCGUGGUCAGAGCAGUCGCCGUGGCGGCGGUGGUGUCGCUCGAACCGGCGGUGACCGUGCCCGCGCCCGCGCUUGCUGGGAGGUGUGCGUCACUGUCCGCGGCCGGCAAGCACGGCCUGUCGGUGGCAGAGGCCAUGUCUCGGGUCAGGGCGAAUGGCAAGACGGCGUUCAUCCCGUACAUCACCGCCGGCGACCCCGACCUAGCGACCACGGCCGAGGCGCUCAAGCUCCUUGACAGCCUCGGCGCCGACGUCAUCGAGCUCGGCUUGCCCUUCUCUGACCCCUCUGCCGACGGGCCAGUGAUUCAGGCAUCCGCGGCGCGGGCGCUAGCCGCUGGCGCAACCACCGACGCCGUGAUGUCGAUGCUGAAGGAGGUGACGCCGGAGCUGUCUUGCCCCGUGGUCAUCUUCUCUUAUUUCAGCCCCAUCCUGCGCCGUGGGACAGGGAGUUUCGCCGCGGCUGCCAAAGAAGCCGGUGUCAAAGGCCUUAUCAUACCCGAUCUUCCAUACGACCAGAUACAUGCUUUCAGGAAAGAGGCCAUAGAGAACAAUCUAGAGCUGAUCCUUCUUACAACACCAGCUACAACAUCAGAGAGGAUGAAAGAAAUCACAAAAGCUUCAGAAGGGUUUGUUUACCUUGUAAGCGUCGUUGGAGUUACAGGAGCUAGGGCGACAGUAAACCCACAUGUCAAGGAUCUUCUUCAGGAGAUUAGGCAGGUCACAGAUAAGGCAGUGGCGGUUGGCUUUGGCAUAUCGACCCCGGAACAUGUUAGCCAGAUUGCCAGGUGGGGUUCAGAUGGAGUGAUCAUUGGUAGUGCAAUGGUGAAACAGUUGGGUGAAGCAAAUUCUCCAAGAGAAGGAUUGAAGAGGCUAGAAGUAUAUGCCAAGAGUUUGAAGAAUGCACUCCCAUGA
rnacentral:rRNA from 1 species